AACGGCAACUGUUCUAUCGUCGGUUGUGAGAGCAAUCGGAGGAAAGUCCGGGCAACACAGAGCCGCCAUACUUCCUAACGGGAAGGUGCUUCUUGAAUAAAGAGGUAACAGAAAGUGCCACAGAAAAUAACCGCUGUUUUUUGAUGAACAGUAAGGGUGAAAAUGUGAGGUAAGAGCUCACACCAAGUAGUAGUGAUACGCCUUGGGGGUAAACCUUAUGGGUUGAAAGACCAAAUAUACCGGCAGUUAAGGACCGGCUCGUCCGUUGUCGGGGGGUAGGUUGAUUGAGACUUUUGGUGACAAAAGCCCUAGAUAAAUGAUAGAACUUUUUCUUUCUACAAGAAAAAGACAGAACCCGGCUUAUAGGUUGUCGUUUUUU
rnacentral:RNase_P_RNA from 1 species